rnacentral:rRNA from 1 species
AGAGUUUGAUCCUGGCUCAGGAUGAACGCUAGCAGGACGCCUAACACAUGCAAGUCGAACGUUCCGAUUUAUCGGAAAGUGGCAGACGAGCGAGUAAUAUGCACUUAACUUGCCCUUGAGAUGAGAACAACUAUGGAGACAUAGCUAAUUCUCAAUAUGCUCACGAUGGUGAAAUCCCAAUGUGAGGAAAGAUUUAUCGCUCAAGGAGAGGGGUGUAUCCUAUCAGGUAGUUGGUAAGGUAACGGCUUACCAAGCCUAUGACGGGUAGCCGGUUUGAGAUGAUGAUCGGCCGCGAUGGGACUGAGACACGGCCCAUACUCCUACGGGAGGCAGCAGUGGGGAAUAUUGCACAAUGGACGAAAGUCUGAUGCAGCGAUUCUGCGUGGAGGAUGAAGCAUUACGGUGUGUAAACUCCUUUUCUGGUAGAAGACGAAUGACGGUAUACCAGGAAUAAGGGACGGCUAACUAUGUGCCAGCAGCCGCGGUAAUACGUAGGUGGCGAGCGUUGUCCGGAAUUACUGGGUGUAAAGGGCGUGUAGGCGGGAUGUCAAGUCAGAUGUGAAAUUCCGAGGCUUAACUUCGGGGGUGCAUCUGAAACUGAUAUUCUUGAGUGUCGGAGAGGAAAGUGGAAUUCCCAGUGUAGCGGUGAAAUGCGUAGAGAUUGGGAGGAACACCGGUGGCGAAGGCGGCUUUCUGGCUGACAACUGACGCUGAGGCGCGAAAGCGUGGGGAGCAAACAGGAUUAGAUACCCUGGUAGUCCACGCCGUAAACGAUGAUUACUGGGUGUAGGGGGUAUCGACUCCCUCUGUGCCGAAGCUAACGCGAUAAGUAAUCCACCUGGGGAGUACGGCCGCAAGGCUAAAACUCAAAGGAAUUGACGGGGGCCCGCACAAGCAGUGGAGUAUGUGGUUUAAUUCGAGGCAGCGCGAAGAACCUUACCAGGGUUUGACAUCCCGCGCUAUAGGUAGAGAUACUUAGUUCCCUUCGGGGACGCGGAGACAGGUGGUGCAUGGUUGUCGUCAGCUCGUGUCGUGAGAUGUUCGGUUAAGUCCGGCAACGAGCGCAACCCUCGUGGCCAGUUGCCAUCAUUUAGUUGGGCACUUUGGCCAGACUGCCGUUGACAAAACGGAGGAAGGUGGGGAGGACGUCAAAUCAUCAUGCCCCUUAUAUCCUGGGCUACACACGUACUACAAUGGGCGUUACAACGGGCAGCCACACCGCGAGGUGGAGCGAAUCCCCAAAGGCGUCCUCAGUUCGGAUUGUAGUCUGCAACUCGACUACAUGAAGUUGGAAUCGCUAGUAAUCGUAAAUCAGAAUGUUACGGUGAAUACGUUCUCGAGUCUUGUACUCACCGCCCGUCAA